rnacentral:rRNA from 1 species
UACGGGGGGGGGUGGAAGCGUUGUUCGGAAUUACUGGGCGUAAAGGGCUCGUAGGCGGCCAACUAAGUCAGACGUGAAAUCCCUCAGCUUAACUGGGGAACUGCGUCUGAUACUGGAUGGCUUGGAUUUGGGAGAGGGAUGCGGAAUUCCAGGUGUAGCGGUGAAAUGCGUAGAUAUCUGGAGGAACACCGGUGGCGAAGGCGGCAUCCUGGACCAAUAUUGACGCUGAGGAGCGAAAGCCAGGGGAGCAAACGGG